rnacentral:rRNA from 1 species
AGGGAAUCUUCCGCAAUGGACGAAAGUCUGACGGAGCAACGCCGCGUGAGUGAUGAAGGUUUUCGGAUCGUAAAGCUCUGUUGCCAGGGAAGAACGUCGGGUAGAGUAACUGCUAUCCGAGUGACGGUACCUGAGAAGAAAGCCCCGGCUAACUACGUGCCAGCAGCCGCGGUAAUACGUAGGGGGCAAGCGUUGUCCGGAAUUAUUGGGCGUAAAGCGCGCGCAGGCGGUCACUUAAGUCUGGUGUUUAAGGCUAGGGCUCAACUCUAGUUCGCACUGGAAACUGGACAGCUUGAGUGCAGAAGAGGAGAGUGGAAUUCCACGUGUAGCGGUGAAAUGCGUAGAGAUGUGGAGGAACACCAGUGGCGAAGGCGACUCUCUGGGCUGUAACUGACGCUGAGGCGCGAAAGCGUGGGGAGCAAAC